rnacentral:lncRNA from 10 species
AAGGCUGCGGCGGCGACGAGCUCCGAGCGGGACACUGAACGGCCCGUAUGCGCAAGAUAAGCACGGACUGAAUCAGGUACACGCACCUGCCGGGGACGCACUGACCGAGGUGCGGACGGCGGUACCAGGACAGGUAAAGCCGCGAACACUCGGACCUAAGAACUUGACAGGUACACCCUGCCUGAUGAAGCUACGUACGGCCAGGUGCGCAUCGAGUGAAUCAGGAAAGAGGAAGUUAAGGAUAUGAGGAAUUGCCGUCAGGAUCAGAGAUCAUCACUACGAAGAGCAAAACAGGCCACUUGCCCACCUUGACAGAGCUGGUAAGUGGCAGAGCCAGGACCAUCCA